rnacentral:rRNA from 1 species
CUCUUAGAUGUUCUGGGCCGCACGCGUGCUACACUGAGUGGAUCAGCGGGUCAGGUUGCGCGAAAGCGUUUCCUAAUCUUUAAAUCCGCUCGUGAUGGGGAUUGACGGUUGCAAUUUUCUGUCAUGAACGAGGAAUACCUUGUAAGCGCGGGUCAUCAUCCCGCGCUGAAUACGUCCCUGCCCUUUGUACACACCGCCCGUCGCUCCUACCGAUUGAGUGGUCCGGUGAGGCUUUGGGAUCUGAGCGGAAAGAGCGUUUCGCUGUUUCUGCUCGGAAAACUCAGUCGAACCUCAUCAUUUAGAGGAAGGAGAAGUCGUAACA